CNGCNGGUCGACGAUUCUACGGGAGGCAGCAGUGGGGAAUUUUCCGCAAUGGGCGAAAGCCUGACGGAGCAAUACCGCGUGAGGGAAGACUGCCUAUGGGUUGUAAACCUCUUUUUUCAGGGAGGAAUCAAUGACGUGUACCUGAAGAAUAAGCAUCGGCUAACUCCGUGCCAGCAGCCGCGGUAAGACGGAGGAUGCGAGUGUUAUCCGGAAUCACUGGGCGUAAAGCGUCUGUAGGUGGUUUAAUAAGUCAACUGUUAAAUCUUGAGGCUCAACUUCAAAAUCGCAGUCGAAACUAUUAGACUAGAGUAUAGUAGAGGUAAAGGGAAUUUCCAGUGGAGCGGUGAAAUGCGUAGAUAUUGGAAAGAACACCGAUGGCGAAAGCACUUUACUGGGCUAUUACUAACACUCAGAGACGAAAGCUAGGGUAGCAAAUGGGAUUAGAUACCCCAGUAGUCCUAGCCGUAAACAAUGGAUACUAGAUGUUGAACAGAUCGACCUGUGCAGUAUCAAAGCUAACGCGUUAAGUAUCCCGCCUGGGAAGUAUGCUCGCAAGAGUGAAACUCAAAGGAAUUGACGG
rnacentral:rRNA from 1 species